GGUUAAGCGAUUAAGCGUACACGGUGGAUGCCCUGGCAGUCAGAGGCGAUGAAGGGCGUGCUAAUCUGCGAUAAGCGCCGGUAAGGUGAUAUGAACCGUUAUAACCGGCGAUACCCGAAUGGGGAAACCCAGUGUGACUCGUCACACUAUCAUUAACUGAAUCCAUAGGUUAAUGAGGCGAACCGGGGGAACUGAAACAUCUAAGUACCCCGAGGAAAAGAAAUCAACCGAGAUUCCCCCAGUAGCGGCGAGCGAACGGGGAGGAGCCCAGAGCCUGAAUCAGCAUGUGUGUUAGUGGAAGCGUCUGGAAAGGCGCGCGAUACAGGGUGACAGCCCCGUACACAAAAGCGCAUGUGCUGUGAGCUCGAUGAGUAGGGCGGGACACGUGGUAUCCUGUCUGAAUAUGGGGGGACCAUCCUCCAAGGCUAAAUACUCCUGACUGACCGAUAGUGAACCAGUACCGUGAGGGAAAGGCGAAAAAGAACCCCGGCGAGGGGAGUGAAAAAAGAACCUGAAACCGUGUACGUACAAGCAGUGGGAGCACAGGUUUACCUGUGUGACUGCGUACCUUUUGUAUAAUGGGUCAGCGACUUAUAUUCUGUAGCAAGGUUAACCGUAUAGGGGAGCCGCAGGGAAACCGAGUCUUAACCGGGCGUUAAGUUGCAGGGUAUAGACCCGAAACCCGGUGAUCUAGCCAUGGGCAGGUUGAAGGUUGGGUAACACUAACUGGAGGACCGAACCGACUAAUGUUGAAAAAUUAGCGGAUGACCUGUGGCUGGGGGUGAAAGGCCAAUCAAACCGGGAGAUAGCUGGUUCUCCCCGAAAGCUAUUUAGGUAGCGCCUCGUGAAUUCAUCUCCGGGGGUAGAGCACUGUUUCGGCUAGGGGGUCAUCCCGACUUACCAACCCGAUGCAAACUGCGAAUACCGGAGAAUGUUAUCACGGGAGACACACGGCGGGUGCUAACGUCCGUCGUGAAGAGGGAAACAACCCAGACCGCCAGCUAAGGUCCCAAAGUCAUGGUUAAGUGGGAAACGAUGUGGGAAGGCCCAGACAGCCAGGAUGUUGGCUUAGAAGCAGCCAUCAUUUAAAGAAAGCGUAAUAGCUCACUGGUCGAGUCGGCCUGCGCGGAAGAUGUAACGGGGCUAAACCAUGCACCGAAGCUGCGGCAGCGAACGUAUCACUUAAAGCGAUUCAGCGGGUUACGAUUGACGGAGCGAAGCGACGUCAAAGCGUAUACAAAGUCGAGUCGGUUUAAGGAUACGUUCGUUGGGUAGGGGAGCGUUCUGUAAGCCUGUGAAGGUGGCCUGUGAGGGUUGCUGGAGGUAUCAGAAGUGCGAAUGCUGACAUAAGUAACGAUAAAGCGGGUGAAAAGCCCGCUCGCCGGAAGACCAAGGGUUCCUGUCCAACGUUAAUCGGGGCAGGGUGAGUCGACCCCUAAGGCGAGGCCGAAAGGCGUAGUCGAUGGGAAACGGGUUAAUAUUCCCGUACUUGGUGUUACUGCGAAGGGGGGACGGAGAAGGCUAUGUUGGCCGGGCGACGGUUGUCCCGGUUUAAGCGUGUAGGUGUGUGUUCCAGGUAAAUCCGGUUCACUUUAACACUGAGGCGUGACGACGAGGCACUACGGUGCUGAAGCAACAAAUGCCCUGCUUCCAGGAAAAGCCUCUAAGCAUCAGGUAACAUCAAAUCGUACCCCAAACCGACACAGGUGGUCAGGUAGAGAAUACCAAGGCGCUUGAGAGAACUCGGGUGAAGGAACUAGGC
rnacentral:rRNA from 1 species